rnacentral:rRNA from 1 species
GAUGAACGCUGGCGGCGUGCCUAAUACAUGCAAGUCGAGCGAACAGACGAGGAGCUUGCUCCUCUGACGUUAGCGGCGGACGGGUGAGUAACACGUGGAUAACCUACCUAUAAGACUGGGAUAACUUCGGGACACCGGAGCUAAUACCGGAUAAUAUAUUGAACCGCAUGGUUCAAUAGUGAAAGACGGUUUUGCUGUCACUUAUAGAUGGAUCCGCGCCGCAUUAGCUAGUUGGUAAGGUAACGGCGUACCAAGGCGACGAUGCGUAGCCGACCUGAGGGGGUGAUCAGCCACACCGGAACUGAGACCGGCUCCAGACUCCUAGGGGAAGCAGCAGUAGGGAAUCUGCCGCAAUGGGCGAAAACCUGACGGAGCAACGCCGCGUGAGUGAGGAGGGUCUUCGGAUCGUAAAACUCUGUUAUUAGGGAAGAACAAAUGUGUAAGUAACUAUGCACGUCUUGACGGUACCUAGUCAGAAAGCCACGGCUUACUACGUG